UAACGGCGAGUGAAGCGGCAACAGCUCAAAUUUGAAAUCUGGCGCAAGCCCGAGUUGUAAUUUGCAGAGGAUGUUUCGGGUGAAGCCACGGUCCAAGUCCCUUGGAACAGGACGUCAUAGAGGGUGAGAACCCCGUACCUGGCCGUCGGUGCCCCCCGCUGUGAAACUCCUUCGACGAGUCGAGUUGUUUGGGAAUGCAGCUCUAAAUUGGUGGUAAAUUCCAUCUAAAGCUAAAUACCGGCCAGAGACCGAUAGCGCACAAGUAGAGUGAUCGAAAGAUGAAAAGCACUUUGAAAAGAGAGUUAAAAAGUACGUGAAAUUGUUGAAAGGGAAGCGCUUGCGGCCAGACUUGCCCGCGGUUGCUCAGCCCGCCUUUUGGCGGGUGCACUCUUCCGCGGUCAGGCCAGCAUCGGUUUGGGCGGCCGGAUAAAGGCGCCGGGAACGUGGCCUCCCCUCGGGGAGGUGUUAUAGCCCGGCGUGCAAUGCGGCCAGCCCGGACCGAGGUUCGCGCUCUGCUAGGAUGCUGGCGUAAUGGCCGUAAGCGGCCCGUCUUGAAACACGGACCAAGGAGUCUAACAUCUAUGCGAGUGUUUGGGUGUCAAACCCGUGCGCGUAAUGAAAGUGAACGGAGGUGGGAACCGCAAGGUGCACCAUCGACCGAUCCUGAUGUCUUCGGAAGGAUUUGAGUAAGAGCAUAGCUGUUGGGACCCGAAAGAUGGUGAACUAUGCGUGAAU
rnacentral:rRNA from 1 species